rnacentral:rRNA from 1 species
CGUAAACAAAGGGAAGCGAACACGCGAGUGGGAGCGAAUCCCAAAAAUAACGUCCCAGUUCGGAUUGUAGUCUGCAACCCGACUACAUGAAGCCGGAAUCGCUAGUAAUCGCGGAUCAGCAUGCCGCGGUGAAUACGUUCCCGGGUCUUGUACACACCGCCCGUCACACCAUGGGAGUCGGAAAUGCCCGAAGUCAGUGACCCAACCGUAAGGAGGGAGCUGCCGAAGGUGGAGCCGGUAACUGGGGUGAAGUCGUAACAAGGUAGC